GAUGAACGCUGGCGGCGUGCCUAAUACAUGCAAGUCGAGCGAACAGACGAGGAGCUUGCUCCUCUGACGUUAGCGGCGGACGGGUGAGUAACACGUGGAUAACCUACCUAUAAGACUGGGAUAACUUCGGGAAACGGGAGCUAAUACCGGAUAAUAUAUUGAACCGCAGGGUUCAAUAGUGAAAGACGGUUUUGCUUUCACUUAUAGAUGGAUCCGCGCCGCAUUAGCUAGUUGGUAAGGUAACGGCUUACCAAGGCGACGAUGCGUAGCCGACCUGAGAGGGUGAUCGGCCACACUGGAACUGAGACACGGUCCAGACUCCUACGGGAGGCAGCAGUAGGGAAUCUUCCGCAAUGGGCGAAAGCCUGACGGAGCAACGCCGCGUGAGUGAUGAAGGUCUUCGGAUCGUAAAACUCUGUUAUUAGGGAAGAACAAAUGUGUAAGUAACUAUGCACGUCUUGACGGUACCUAAUCAGAAAGCCACGGCUAACUACGUG
rnacentral:rRNA from 1 species